UUGCCUAUUGAUCCUUCAAAGGCAAAGCUAGAAUGGCAGCAAUGUGUUCCUUUUUUGCAGAUCAAUUAUGUUUAUUGUUUUCAGUUUCUGAACCAUUGUCCAAUUAAUGUCUUCUUUUAUGAAUAACCAAUGGCAAUUUUGGUUUUUGGAUUUCAUAGGUACCAGACUAUAGAAGGAUACCACCCUUUAUGAGAGAGCGUCUCUCGUCCAUACAAGGAAACAAUUCGUGCCUUUUUGGUCUACUUUCAUACCUGUAAAUGCUUGUGUUUGUUUGGGUUUCUUCACGUGCAAGGUUUUCCUUUGUUAUUCCAAGUUGUGUAUCGAUGUCGCUAUAGGCCACAGCCGCCUCCAGCGCACAAAGAGACCACGUCUCCUCCCCUCCCUUAGCCUUACCCCCACCCAAUCCCUCAACCUCUCCUACAACACCUUCUCCGGCCCGCUCCCCGACGACAUUGCGCGCCUCGCUUUCACAGCGGCGAGACAGGGAAGAUGGACAUUAAUUUUACCUUAAUGUUUUUAAUACACGAUUUAG